rnacentral:rRNA from 1 species
CCUACGGGAGGCAGCAGUCGAGAAUCAUUCACAAUGGGCGAAAGCCUGAUGCAGCCACGCCGCGUGAAGGAAGAAGGGUUUCGGCUCGUAAACUUCUAUCAACAGGGACGAAAGAAAUGACGGUACCUGAAUAAGAAGCACCGUCUAACUACGGGCCAGCCGCCGCGGUAAUCCGGAGGGGGCAAGCGUUCGCCGGAAUUCCUGGGUGUAAAGGGUGAGUAGGCGGCAUGGUAGCCAGAUGUGAAAGCCUUGGGCUUAACCCGAGGAUUGCAUUUGGAACUAUCAAGCUAGAGUACAGGAGAGGAAAGCGGAAUUCCUAGUGUAGCGGUGAAAUGCGUAGAUAUUAGGAAGAACACCAGUGGCGAAGGCGGCUUUCUGGACUGAAACUGACGCUGAGGCACGAAAGCGUGGGGAGCGAACAGGAUUAGAUACCCGAGUAGUC